GAACGCUAGCGACAGGCCUAACACAUGCAAGUCGAGGGCGAGCACAAGAGCAAUCUGAGGUGGCGACCGGCGCACGGGUGAGUAACACGUAUGCAACCUGCCUGUAAGCGGGGAAGUAACCCGUUGAAAGACGGACUAAUACCGCAUAAUACUAAAUACUGCAUGGUAAUUAUUUAAACAUUUAUGGCUUACAGAUGGGCAUGCGCAUGAUUAGCUAGUUGGAGAGGUAACGGCUCCCCAAGGCAACGAUCAUUAGGGGUUCUGAGAGGAAGGUCCCCCCACACUGGUACUGAGACACGGACCAGACUCCUACGGGAGGCAGCAGUGAGGAAUAUUGGUCAAUGGACGAGAGUCUGAACCAGCCAAGUCGCGUGCAGGAAGAAUUGUCCUAUGGAUUGUAAACUGCUUUUGCAGGGGAAUAAAGUGCAUCACGUGUGAUGUUUUGUAUGUACUCUGCGAAUAAGGAUCGGCUAACUCCGUGCCAGCCGCCGC
rnacentral:rRNA from 1 species